CGUGGCGUGAGUCGUCUGCUUAAUUGCGAUAACGAGCGAGACUCCGAUUGUUAAAUAGCUGGCAGUUUACUUCGACUGUACAGCUUCUUAACGAGAUUCGCGUCUUCAAGGCGCAAGAAAUGGAGCAAUAACAGGUCUGUGAUGCCCUUAGAUGUUCGGGGCCGCACGCGUGCUACAAUGAUGGUAACAGCGUGAUUGUCCUCGCCCGAGAGGGCUUGGCAAACAGUUGAGAUAUUAUUAUGGCUGGAAUUGAGUGUUGAAAUUUUCUCUCAUGAACGAGGAAUUCCAAGUAAAUGCGAGUCAUCAACUUGCAUUGAAUACGUCCCUGCCCUUUGUAC
rnacentral:rRNA from 1 species